GAAUUUGAAGCAAUUUUGCAAUUAGUUUCGACCUAAUCAUUUGGUAUUAAAUUACCCUAAUUCU
rnacentral:tRNA from 1 species